CAAGUACUCCCUCCGUCCGAAAAUACUUGUCAUCAAAAUGGAUAAAAAAGAUGUAUCUAGAACUAAUAUACAUCUAGAUACAUCCCCUUUUAUUCAUUUUGAUGACAAGUAUUUCCGGACAGAGGGAGUACUAC
rfam:Triticum aestivum genome assembly, contig: Triticum_aestivum_CS42_TGACv1_scaffold_362378_4DS